CUUUAUUCAACUGGCUUAGUAUUUCAUGGCCCAUCAAAAGUUGGCAACAGGUGCAAUAUUUUAUGUGCGUUAUUAAUGUCUGCCCCAACUAUUGCUUCCACUCGAUUUGCUGGCAAAGCAAAGAAAUUCCUACCGCAAUUUUGAGGGAUGCAGCCCGUCACGAGCAAAAACCAUUUGGUCUGCCAAUAGUUGCCAUGGCGAUUCUUAUUUUGUUAAAUAAAUAUUAUUCAGAGCCAAAAA